rnacentral:rRNA from 1 species
UACGUAGGGUGCAAGCGUUGUCCGGAAUUAUUGGGCGUAAAGAGCUCGUAGGCGGUUUGUCGCGUCUGCUGUGAAAACUCGGGGCUUAACUCCGGGCCUGUAGUGGGUACGGGCAGACUAGAGUGCGGUAGGGGAGACUGGAAUUCCUGGUGUAGCGGUGAAAUGCGCAGAUAUCAGGAGGAACACCGAUGGCGAAGGCAGGUCUCCGGGCAUUAACUGACGCUGAGGAGCGAAAGCAUGGGGAGCGAACAGG